CUAACUCUCAGUCAGCAGCCGGGGGAAUACGGAGGGCGCAAGCGUUAAUCGGAAUUUCUGGGCGUAAAGCGCACGCAGGCGGUCUGUCAAGUCGGAUGUGAAAUCCCCGGGCUCACCCUGGGAAAUGCAUUCGAAAGGGGCAGGCUGGAGUCUUGUAGAGGGGGGUAGAAUUCCAGGUGUAGCGGUGAAAUGCGCAGAGAUUUGGAGGAAUACCGGUGGCGAAGGCGGCCCCCUGGACAAAGACUGACGGUCAGGUGCGAAAGCGUGGGGAGCAAACAGGAUUAGAUACCGUGGUAGUCCACGCCGUAAACGAUGUCGAUUAGGAGGUUGUGCCCCGAGGCGUGGCUUCCGGAGCUAACGCGUUAAAUCGACCGCCUGG
rnacentral:rRNA from 1 species